rnacentral:piRNA from 1 species
CAACAACCACGUGCUGUCUGUGCGCGUCCA